rnacentral:rRNA from 1 species
AGAGUUUGAUCCUGGCUCAGGACGAACGCUGGCGGCGUGCCUAACACAUGCAAGUCGAACGGAACUGUUUUGAUGAAUUUCUUCGGAAUGAAUUAGAUUUAGAUUAAUGGCGGAAGGGUGAAUAACGCGUGGGUAACCUGGCUUCGAGAGGGGGAUAAAAUUCUGAAAAUAAUGGUAAUACCGCAUGACAUACUCGGAACCACAUGAUUGUGAGAUCAAAGAUUUUAGCGCUUGAAGAUGGACUCGCGUCCGAUUAGUUAGUUGGUGAGGUAACGGCUCACCAAGACCACGAUCGGUAGCCGGAUUGAGAGGUUGAACGGCCACAUUGGGACUGAGACACGGCCCAGACUCCUACGGGAGGCAGCAGUGGGGGAUAUUGCGCAAUGGGGGCAACCCUGAUGCAGCGACGCCGCGUGAAGGAUGAAGUUUUUCGGUUUGUAAACUUCUUUUAUCAAGGACGAAACUGGACGUUCCUUAAUGAGUAAGCUCCGGCUAACUACGUGCCAGCAGCCGCGGUAAUACGUAGGGAGCAAGCGUUGUCCGGAUUUACUGGGUGUAAAGGGUGCGUAGGCGGUUUUGCAAGUCAGAUGUGAAAUCUAUGGGCUCAACUCAUAAACUGCAUUUGAAACUUUAGAGCUUGAGUGCAGUAGAGGCAGGCGGAAUUCCUAGUGUAGCGGUGAAAUGCGUAGAUAUGGGGAGGAACAUCAGUGGCGAAGGCGGCUUGCUGGGCUUUAACUGACGCUGAGGCACGAAAGCGUGGGUAGCAAACAGGAUUAGAUACCCUGGUAGUCCACGCUGUAAA